AGCGAACGCUGGCGGCAGGCCUAACACAUGCAAGUCGAACGAAGUCUUCGGACUUAGUGGCGGACGGGUGAGUAACACGUGGGAACGUGCCUUUAGGUUCGGAAUAACUCAGGGAAACUUGUGCUAAUACGGAAUGUGCCCUUCGGGGGAAAGAUUUAUCGCCUUUAGAGCGGCCCGCGUCUGAUUAGCGAGUUGGUGAGGUAAAGGCUCACCAAGGCGACGAUCAGUAGCUGGUCUGAGAGGAUGAUCAGCCACAUUGGGACUGAGACACGGCCCAAACUCCUACGGGAGGUAGCAGUGGGGAAUCUUGCGCAAUGGGCGAAAGCCUGACGCAGCCAUGCCGCGUGAUUGAUGAAGGUCUUAGGAUUGUAAAAUUCUUUCACCGGGGACGAUAAUGACGGUACCCGGAGAAGAAGCCCCGGCUAACUUCGUGCCAGCCGCCGCCGUAA
rnacentral:rRNA from 1 species